rnacentral:misc_RNA from 1 species
UCCAGUAUAUCACUGGCAGUCUUGUUAGAGUUCCCGACAUGACUCGCUGGCAACUAACAACAGGGGUUGCGCUCGUUAUAGGACUUAACCUGACACCUCACGGCACGAGCUGACGACAACCAUGCAGCACCUUGUAAAUUGUCUUGCGAAAGAUCUGUUUCCAAACCGGUCAAUCUACAUUUAAGCCUUGGUAAGGUUCUUCGCGUUGCGUCGAAUUAAGCCACAUGCUCCGCCGCUUGUGCGGGCCCCCGUCAAUUCCUUUGAGUUUUAGCCUUGCGGCCGUACUCCCCAGGCGGGGUGCUUAAUGCGUUAGCUUCGGCACGGACGGGGUUGAUAUCCGCCCACACCUAGCACCCAUCGUUUACGGCUAGGACUAC